UUUUACACUUAUUUACUCCAACCUUUCCUGCUAAUUCCAGGUUUAUUGGAGAAGACAGAAUGACUGAUGACAGAAGCACCUGCGAUCUUCUUCUUGUGCUGUGGGCUUCAGGGGAAUCCAAGAGUUCCUGGCAAAGAGGAUCUAAUGAAGACUGACAUUGAUCAAUAAAGGCAUGGGGUUAAAAGAGCAACAAUAAGAAUACCUUAAAGUUGUACUCAGAAGAUAGGAGCUAUCUCUGCUUCCUUUCAGAAACAUCAUUAUUACCUUGAAUCAGAGCCUGCCAGAAGCAUUUUGCACAACAAUUGUAAGAAGAGACUGAAACUUCAGAAACACUUUUAGCAGUAAACACUGGUGAUGAUGCAGUGUUUUCCUGUGCAUAAAAAUUCAUAUCUGCAUUUCCAAACAACAACCAAAACUGCUGGAUGCAAGGUGGCUGCUUACACUACAGACCUGUUACAUAUAUUCCAACCCCAUAAUGCUAGGGGUUUACAAGGAUAAUAUUUGUGAACUUUCACAUUCUAUGUAGCGGUCACAAUGAAGUCCUCUAAAGGCAUCCUUUGAUGGAAGCAAUUUGGACGUUUAUGAUGGCUCAAAGCAAGGUUCCAAGCAAUGAGACUACAUUAGUGUAGAUCACCAAUAUAAAUAGAACAGCUAUCAUAUCAUAUCAGUUCUGUCCACAGCACGUGAGUAGGAGAAGUUCUGAAAUAAGAUCAUCAGGAACAAAGAAAGGAGUAUUUCAGAAUAUAUUCAGUUGAUUCCAGAGGUAGCCAAUCCUGCUUGAUUGAAUGUUUGCAAAAUUCAAUUCUCUGUUUGCAGAUUUAGGUACAGCAGGUCUUUGAAUAACAGUCAUUUCAUUCAACAUUGUUUCCUUAUAACGUUGAUGAGAAAAAAAGAAUAUAUAUAUACAUAUAUAUUCCCACUGGGGUUCACUGUCUGGGUAGAGUCUACAUGUUUUCCCCAGGUCUGGAUGGGUUUUUUUCUGGGUACCCAGGUCUCCCUGACAUUCCAAAGUUAUGCACAUUCAGUUCAUCUAAUGGUCCCAGUCAGAGUGAGUGCGGGGGGUCAGUGAGUACACCUGGUGAUACUACCUGUGUAGGGAUGGUUGUUUCCUGUCUGGUGUCCUAAGCUGCAGGGAGAAGCUCAGGCCACCUGCAACCCUAAACUGGAAUAAGCAGGUAAAUCAUUACCUUAUGUGCUUAUACUGAUACUUUUAUUCAUCUUUCUUAAAUACAUGUAUAGCUCACAUUUAUGUUGAGAUUUAAUAUCAGAAGUGAUUUGGUCAUUAUUUACAAGUUGGUGAUGAUUUUCUGACCAUAAAUAUGCCAUAGGAACAUAACUCUUGUUAUAUCAAUUAGCCUGUCAUAAAGCUGGCUUUUGCCCUUCAAGUUUCCACUAACCUAUCAACAUUAAGUGAAGACUUACUGUAUAAAGAAUGUAGGUUGUUAGAAAUAAAGUUUUACCCUGAGGAAAAAAAAAUGGUAUCUACCAUUCAGCUCUGUCCCUUGGUUUAUCAAUUAUUUAGCAAUAUUUAAAUAUUCAUUCAGUUCUAUUGUUCAUUAUAUACAAUGGUCUUUGUGUGUGUGUGUCUGUGUGUGUGUAUCAUACAUAUUUUUAUUCUAGAGAUUCUAUUUGAUUCUCUUAUUUUAGCUGAACCCCAACUGAGUUGCUCCAAAUGCUGCAGCAAUAAAGUUCUCACAAGGGAGUUCUUUGGGAUUCCAAAGAAAGAAGCAGUAAACUGCACUGCAGGGUGACCAGUCCAAAGCAAGUGUUAGAUGACCUCGCAAAGUACUGCAGCAUAUAUUUAGGCAGACAGAGAGAAAGGGAUGCUCUUCCUCAGUAUGUCUGCAGCAAUGGCAUCAGGGUGUGAAGUUUAUAUGCAAGCUUAAAGAACUUGGCUCAGGGCACAGGCCGGUUUCUUUAAGUGUUUUGAUCCACAUCCUAAACAUCUUUAUCAGUGUCUGGGAAUGUUCAAGGUCCCAGCUCAGGUUAAGCCUGACAGGAAAAAGAGGCAGCUGGCAGGGUCACACAGUGCUUAAGGCAUUCUGUGUUUCUUAGGACACAGAAAGAAAGUGGGGAGGACUAGAGGACCCUACAGUUUGUGUUUUCAACUUAAAAUAAUUAUUUUCAAUGGAUCGUUAUUUGUUAGCCAUCAUUUCUUUCCUCUAUUGUUUCUUCAAAGAUACUAAAGAUAAUUUUUACCCUUUAUAUAGGUCAGUUAU
ensembl:lncRNA Novel transcript